UAUUAUGGGGUUAAUAUUUUAAUUAAAAAAUUAUAUACUUUUAAUAUAGAUUUAUACUUUUCAAUAAAAAAAUUCAAUUAUAUUUAUGAAUGCUUAAAUUAUAUUAAGAAAAAAAAAUAAUAAUUAAAAAUAGUUGAAAAAAAAAUUAUUUGAACUUGGACUCAAUGGUCUAAAGGAAAAAAAAAAGUGAGAAUUGAAUCUGAUUUUUUAAUAGGGCCAAAUGGCCCGAGAGAGAUUUGAUGUGGGCUAGAUUCAAAAAUAAUGACCCAAUAUAGAUUUGUUAUUAAUAUUACUUAAUUGUCCUUAAUGAAACAUGCAAUGUUAAUGAAGAAAAGUGCAGGCUAAAGUAAUUAUGACAAUAGGAUCCUGUUUUAAUAGUAUAGAUAUUACGUGGAAUGGAUUGAAAACAAAUUGAAAACAAAUUAGCUACAAUUGAUAAACUCUAAAUCAGCUUUCCCAUUUAUGUGUCGGCCAUUUGUAACGUUUGGACCCACCAACUAAGUCGUAUCUCGGAUUCGAAAAAUAUUCAAAACUUAACCAUUAGAUCUUUCGAUUUCGUUAGAAGCUAAAGUAGAUCAUCUUAAACUGUUUACUUUGCUAACUAAGUUUAAGCUUGUGAACUGUGGAGACGUAGAAUAGUAUCUUAGAUUUGUAGAACUUAUGUAAUAUAUCCAAAUAUCCAAUCCACCAUGCAUGUUAAUAAAGAAAACCAAAGCAUUUUGCUCAAUGGUCAAGUGGGUUUGAUCUUGCUGGCGUGACUUCCAAAAGAUGAGUUCCAAUUGGUACAAUAAAGCGACUUUAUACAUGCAACCUAGUUGUAUUUCAUGAUCAAAUUAAGUGGAAGACCAAAAUUUAUAUUGACGAUUAAUCUACAAAAGACUUUAGAUGAUAAAAAGACGAGCGUGGAAGUUUCAACGACUAUUUUCCUUUUAACACUAGACAAAAAGAAAAGGUUGAUCUCUCUCAUGAAGACAAACUAUUCUUUAGGUCAUACUAUGGUCUAAAAUAUCUCACUAUGAUUUUUUUGGUAAAAUUAUCUCACUAAGAUACACAAUAAAAAUGAAUCAUAUAUAUUACAAUGAAAUAAACCUAGCCAAAAUAAACAUUAAUCAAAUAAAAAGUUUUUCAAAAGAUUACCACCAUGUUGACAUGUUGUGAUGGGAUGCAAAUAAGUCUUAAAGGUUGAAUACUUUGUUAAAAAUGGUUUACAAUUAUUGCUUGGUAGAGGAAUAUAAGAGCAAGAACUCAUUACAUUAAGGAAGAAUUCUAGUUGGAUUAUCAUCACUAUCAUAUAGUACCAAUACGAAUUAUAGUCUCAAGUUUUAAUCUAACAAUCGAACUCACUUUUUCUAAAUCCUCGAUACAAAUGUGAUUUCUUAUUCUUAUCAUAUGCUGUCAUUGCAUAUGUAGGUAUGCUAAGAAAAUAAUUGAACGGUUUACAAAUUGUUCUGUGGUGUAGGUUCCCCUAUAUAUAUAUUUUUUUUUGCUAAACCCAAUAUAUAAAAUGUGAAAAGGGACGCAAAGAAAAUAUUCAGGGCCUCCUCUCAGUUUGAGUGAACGGUGGUAGCGAGGUGUACCACUGAGACCUCUGUCCCUUAGUCCAAGAAUCAACAACCAUGACGGUCUUGGUCUUACGGUAAUCGUUUGGCUUUCUUCUUGCUCCCGAUCUUUGUUUAGUAGGGUUUUGAAGACAACCCGAAGUCACGGAGUCACCUGAAUCUAGCCGGAGCCUUCAUCUACCAUUUGAGUCCUCUGUUUUCAAGGAGCUUAUAUACUCCUUAUGUGCUUCAUUCCCGUGCUUCCUUUUCUCCGACAGCCUCUCUGUUGUAACAUCGAUGUCUCUGCCGUUCUUAUGUGUCGCAUGACCGGAGGGAGCCAGCUUAGACCACCUACGCUUGACCGUAACUCGGGCUUCAUGUUCUGCGGUAUUGACUCGAGAUUGCUUCUUUAAUUUGUACUCUGUCGAGAUAGCUAAGGUUUAAUCGGUCGAAGUCCUCCUCCAGUGGUGUGCCAGGGUGUUUGCCAGCCACCGCCGUUGAAGCCUGCUGGAGCCACUUUGGUGAGUGUUCGGCUGACAACCCUUUUAAGCUAUACUCUUGCUUGCUGGUUAAUCCGUAUAAGCAAGAAGUGCAUUGGUUUAGGGAAUUUUAAAUUGUUUUUUUCUUGUGCUAGUUUGAUCUAUUAACUACAUGCUUUCCAUUGUUUGGAAGUUUGGACUUAAUUUUUAGGGCAUGAUUAACCUCAGUCUAUUAGCCGAAGUUUUUAACUUAUGAUUUGAUACUUUUUUAUUUUUUUAAACACUUUUAAGCUAAGAGACGGCUCUUAUAUCUUUAUUUAAAGACGGUUCUUAACUUUUCUUAGUUAAAAUCUAAGAAAAGCUAAGAACCGUCUCUUACCCAAAACUAAAAACCCCAGUUAAGAGACUAAGAUAAUGAUGGUCUUAGGUUCUUAGAGAUUUUUUAAAACUUUUUGCGGUCCUUAAGAAUCAAAUUAGCUGUCAAAGCAAGCUAUGGCUGCAAGUUUCUUGUAACCAAAUCAUCAUUCAUAGUAAUGAUAUUUACGAUUUAUCAAAAAAAAAAAAAAAUCCAGGGCAUACAGUUUAAGCUACGUUCUGGUCUUUAUAUAGAGUACAAAAAAA